rnacentral:misc_RNA from 1 species
GAUGAAGAACGCAGUGAAAUGCGAUAAGUAAUGUGAAUUGCAGAAUUCAGUGAAUCAUCGAAUCUUUGAACGCACAUUGCGCCGCCAGUAUUCUGGCGGGCAUGCCUGUUCGAGCGUCAUUACAACCCUCAGGCCCCCGGGCCUGGCGUUGGGGAUCGGCGGAGCCCCCCGUGGGCACACGCCGUCCCCCAAAUACAGUGGCGGUCCCGCCGCAGCUUCCAUCGCGUAGUAGCUAACACCUCGCGACUGGAGAGCGGCGCGGCCACGCCGUAAAACACCCAACUCUUCUGAAGUUGACCUCGAAUCAGGUAGGAAUACCCGCUGAACUUAAGCAUAUCAAUAAGCGGAGGA